UCCUAAAAAUCAUUCAUGAUUAUUUGACUAAAUAGUUGCUGCUAUAAGUAAUUUGUAACAUGUGUGCUGAUUUUUUGUGAGAGAAUUAUUACUUAUAUUUAUAUUGGUUUGAUUGUGCAUACUGUCUGUCCUUAUGAUUUAAUAUUACACGUACAAAAUUUGAAAGGUGGAAAGUGAGAUUGUGGCAGCAUUCUUGAGAGGAAAAGAAUGCCAUUUGUUAGAUUUGGACCUUAAUGCCGUACUUGGAUUCAUUGAUGAUUUCUGCAUAUGGGUGAUACUUUAUUUGAAAGACAGAGUUCUCAAUUUGUUCUAGCGGUCUCAGAUAUAGUUCUUAUAAACAUGUAAGUUUCCUUUUCAAAAGUUUUCCUGUAUAGAAAGAAAUUAAGCUUCUUUCCUUUUCGUAUUUCUUUCACUUUAUUAGAACUGUCAAUAGAACUGAAUGUUAUGUUAAGGUGAUUUCAUUCUAUUUGGAUUCAAUUCAUACACGUUGAAUCUUACUUUGCUAUUGGAUUGUAUAAAGAGCUAAAACAUGUAGCAUAAAGGAUUUGCAAAUGAAAUAACAACUUAUUCCUUAUUGUUUUCCUACACAGGUGGAAGAAGAAGACAAAGAAAUAGAUAGCUUUCUCAAAAUACAUUGUAUCUUUCUCAAAAUAUGUCUUAACAACAACUUAUUCUUUAUUAUUAUCCUACAACUGUAUGUUUUAACAACAUGUAUCUUUCUCAAAAUAUGUUGUUAAUACCAAAUGUGUCUUGCACUCUUGUUUCAGGGUGAGAAAAAGAAGACAAAAUACAAAAAUUGAAAAGUAUUGGGACUGGAAAUUGGCCAAUGAAACAAACCCAAUAUAGAUGAGGCAGCCUCAAGGAAGUCGAAAAGGAAGAGUACAAUAAAUUCUACAGGAAGACUUUUAACAAGUUCUUAGAACCGCUUGCUCAUACUCAGUUCACCACCGAGAUAUUUUGAUUUGAUGAUAUUUUAGUAACUUUUGUUAGAACAUUUUCUUUAGAGAGCUAAUAUUAUAAACUCUUUACAUUCUAGUAACAUGAAUGAAUGACAUAUUGUAUGUUAGGAAUGAUUUUUAUUUAUUUAUAAAUGUGCUUCCCAAAGUGUGUUGUCUUGACAAUAUUUUAAUUGCAGGUAAGAAUAAUGAAGAAGAAACUUGUCAGACCCAAAGCUCACAUGUUCUGGUAGCUUUACAAGAGUCCUUAUAGAGUGAAAGAUCCAUCAAAAUCAUGGCCAAUUAUUCUGUGGUUACAACUUACAAGGAGGACCUGCAAUAACUACUUAUAUGUAUGGUUUUAGAUUGAAAUAUUGUGAAUAGUAAUAUAUAAUUGUUGAAACAUUUUA